UUGCUGCUGGCACAGAUCUCUGUGACUUCAUGUCCAAAAAUGUAUGCCCUGUUAGGCACGCUGAAAAGAUGUUUCAUUACUGCUACGGAAUGGAGCACACUCAACUUAUCUCCUAUUGAAACAAAAAGAACUAUUCAUCUGUACAAAUAAAAACAAUGGAAAUGAGGAGACCAUGUGGGAGUUUGCUGUUGAAACCUUUGCAUUUCUGGGACCAGCAAGGUGAUGUUUUUCAGUGAGAGCUACAAAUUAUUAAAAUGAUCGCUGAAAAGGACAAACAAUUUGCCAUUUAGAAUGAACUUUUUUAUUGGUAAUAUUGAUUCAUUUUAUGUUACUAUUCUUAGUGACUGCAUCAAGGAGUUAUUCCUUGAAUAAUGUCUACAAAAUUUGUCUGGGCUGCUGGUUGUUAAAUUAUUUUCCUUAGGUAGGAAAUAUGAGGAGAAAGACAAAGAACUUGGGAUUUGUGACACAUAGACUUCCAAAACAAAGAAGUGCCCUGUUGCAAAAUAAUGUCUUUGUUUGAGUAAUUGUAUUUCUUUCUUCAUAAUAACUUCUGUAUUGAACUGUGGUAGAUGUGGAAAUGUCUUUUUAACCAGGAGCAUGGGUAAAAGUUGUUCUCAGACGUUUUCAGGUUUUGUUGCUGUAGGAGAAAGAUCUUGCCCACCAUAACUAGCACUAAAAAUGUAUUCCACAGCCAUGUUAGUCCUAUUGUAUGAGGGCUAAACUCAAUCUGAAACACUGAAGAGGCACUGAAAAUUAGAAGACCAAAAAAAAAAAAAAAAUCAGACCUCCUCUACUCAAACUUCAAAGCAUUUCCUCCACAGUUCAUUAAAUGUAGUUGCUGGCUGGAUUCAGAGGUAGAGAUGUUCAAAAUAAGGUCUUACAAAAGUAAUUUGUUCUGUUUCAGAUUUUUCUUCAGCUACAAUGCAGUUGUCCUCCUCAACUGCAAGUACAGAAUAAAACAUCAGCAAGGGAGAAAAAGACAUGUCUCGUCACUUUGAGAAAUGUGGGAGUGACAAACAACAGAAGCCAUGACACGUGUUUUACUUGACCUGAUUCUACUUUUGUCUAGCAGUGGUCUACCUUCCAACUUGAUUAAUAACCCUUCCAAAAAACACAUGAAGAUUUCAUUAGGAUUCGUUGUUUUAGAUUCCAUUGACCUCAGCAGUGGAGAGGAGGGUACCACAAAACUGUUGUGCAUAAAGCACGAGCUGACCAGGCAGUAGCCAAGAUGAAGAGAUUUUCUGAAAUUCCACCCAACCACCAGUUUGGUUAGUGGAAAUGGACUGAGAAAGCUGCUGAAAAUAUUCUGGUCAUCCCACUAGCCUCUGUGAGCUGAGCCAAAGCAGUGGCAUCUGUUCUCUGAUAAGAAGUUUGGAAUUUUGAAUGGUUCUUCAGUGUUGCAUCAGGAAAUCUGAAUCCAGAUGCUCAAAAUUAUGUAGGAAUUGUAUGGCUUGGUUUGAUGUUGUGUAUUUCUGGUUUGGGUUUUCAGGCCAUUUUUUUCCCCCAUAGACAGAAAUCUAACAUCAGCUUCACAGAACAUGCCUUUUUUACAAGGUUUCUGAAGAACAAAGGAAGAGUCCUCUCUCUGUUUGGCAAAUUACAUAAAAGGAAAACAGGUAGUGACAAGCUUUGAUUUGACAACACAAACUUAAACAUGGAAUUUGUAGGACUCACCACUGCCAAUAUCUCAGGGUUCUCUGACAUAAACCAAAGCCUUGGAUGCUCAGUUUUAGCAUCCUGGUUGAGGCCAUGCUACAAAACCUGGAUAUAUCCAGGAACAUCCCAAAUAUUCCUUUUUAUCCAGGUUUAGUUUGGAUGCCAUGCAUAGUAGCAUUAUAAUUUCUUUUAAAAAAUCAUUUGUACAAAUAAAAGCUGGGUGGCACUAUUUAUGUAUAGUUUUAAACUUCAGGAUAACUGACACAUUUUUUACCACCUUAGAGUAAUCUGGUUGUGAGCUGCAGGAUUUUAA